AUGGCAGGUAACACGCAAGAUUCAUCACCUCAGUCUUUCUGGGAAGGCUACAAAGAGUUUUGGGGCGAGAGGUUUUCGUUUAUGAGCAAUUAUUCCAACUUCAUCAAGCGUGAUAAACCCCUCACUUCCUGGUCUGACUCUGAUGUUGAGGAAUUCAUCGCUUCUGAUCCUCUUCAUGGACCCGUGUUAGUGCUUCCCAUCAGCUGUCAAAAUGCUAUCUUUCUCAUCAGCUCAAGGAUAUCUACAAUUUCAAGUAGAGGUUACAGAUUCAAUUUUGCGAUGCUUACAUUUCCAUCGGGGUUGUUUGCAUUCUUCUUUAUUUUGAGUAUGAGUACAUUGCAUAACAACUAA